UGGGGAAUAUUGGACAAUGGGCGAAAGCCUGAUCCAGCAAUGCCGCGUGAAUGAUGAAGGCCUUAGGGUUGUAAAGUUCUUUCGGGUGGGACGAUGAUGACGGUACCACCAGAAGAAGCCCCGGCUAACUUCGUGCCAGCAGCCGCGGUAAUACGAAGGGGCUAGCGUUGUUCGGAAUUACUGGGCGUAAAGCGCACGCAGGCGGCUCGUUAAAUUAGAAGUGAAAGCCCUGGGCUCAACCCGGGAAUUGCUUUUAAGACUGGCGAGCUUGAAUCCAGAAGAGGGUAUGGAAUUCCAAGUGUAGAGGUGAAAUUCGUAGAUAUUUGGAAGAACACCAGUGGCGAAGGCGACUACCUGGUCUGGCAUUGACGCUCAUGUGCGAAAGCGUGGGGAGCGAAAC
rnacentral:rRNA from 1 species